AGUGAACGCUGGCGGUAGGCCUAACACAUGCAAGUCGAACGGCAGCACAGUAAGAGUUUGCUCUUACGGGUGGCGAGUGGCGGACGGGUGAGGAAUACAUCGGAUUCUACUUUUUCGUGGGGGAUAACGUAGGGAAGCUUACGCUAAUACCGCAUACGACCUACGGGUGAAAGCAGGGGAUCUUCGGACCUUUCGCGAUUGAAUGAGCUGAUGUCGGAUUAGCUAGUUGGCGGGGUAAAGGCCCACCAAGGCGACGAUCCGUAGCUGGUCUGAGAGGAUGAUCAGCCACACUGGAACUGAGACACGGUCCAGACUCCUACGGGAGGCAGCAGUGGGGAAUAUUGGACAAUGGGCGCAAGCCUGAUCCAGCCAUACCGCGUGGGUGAAGAAGGCCUUCGGGUUGUAAAGCCCUUUUGUUGGGAAAGAAAAGCAGCAGGUUAAUACCCCGCUGUUCUGACGGUACCCAAAGAAUAAGCACCGGCUAACUUCGUG
rnacentral:rRNA from 1 species